UACGUAGGUGACAAGCGUUGUCCGGAUUUACUGGGCGUAAAGAGCGCGCAGGCGGUCGAUCAAGUCGAGUGUGAAAGCCCCGGGCUCAACCUGGGAAUUGCAUCCGAUACUGAUUGGCUAGAGUAUGAGAGAGGGAGGUAGAAUUCCACGUGUAGCGGUGAAAUGCGUAGAUAUGUGGAGGAAUACCGGUGGCGAAGGCGGCCUCCUGGCUUAAUACUGACGCUGAGGUGCGAAAGCGUGGGGAUCAAACAGG
rnacentral:rRNA from 1 species